UNUGACUUGAGUGCAGAAGGGGAGAGUGGAAUUCCAUGUGUAGCGGUGAAAUGCGUAGAUAUAUGGAGGNACACCAGUGGCGAAAGCGGCUCUCUGGUCUGUCACUGACGCUGAGGCUCGAAAGCGUGGGUAGCGAACAGGAUUAGAUACCCUGGUAGUCCACGCCGUAAACGAUGAGUGCUAGGUGUUAGGCCCUUUCCGGGGCUUAGUGCCGGAGCUAACGCAAUAAGCACUCCGCCUGGGGAGUACGACCGCAAGGUUGAAACUCAAAGGAAUUGACGGGGGCCCGCACAAGCGGUGGAGCAUGUGGUUUAAUUCGAAGCAACGCGAAGAACCUUACCAGGUCUUGACAUCCCGAUGCUAUUCUUAGAGAUAGGAAGUUACUUCGGUACAUCGGAGACAGGUGGUGCAUGGUUGUCGUCAGCUCGUGUCGUGAGAUGUUGGGUUAAGUCCCGCAACGAGCGCAACCCUUAUUGUUAGUUGCCAUCAUUAAGUUGGGCACUCUAGCGAGACUGCCGGUAAUAAACCGGAGGAAGGUGGGGAUGACGUCAAAUCAUCAUGCCCCUUAUGACCUGGGCUACACACGUGCUACAAUGGUCGGUACAACGAGUUGCGAGCCGGUGACGGCAAGCUAAUCUCUGAAAGCCGAUCUCAGUUCGGAUUGGAGGCUGCAACUCGCCUC
rnacentral:rRNA from 1 species